CUACGGAGGGGGUUAGCGUUGUUCGGAAUUACUGGGCGUAAAGCGCACGUAGGCGGAUUGGAAAGUUGGGGGUGAAAUCCCAGGGCUCAACCCUGGAACUGCCUCCAAAACUAACAGUCUAGAGUUCGAGAGAGGUGAGUGGAAUUCCAAGUGUAGAGGUGAAAUUCGUAGAUAUUUGGAGGAACACCAGUGGCGAAGGCGGCUCACUGGCUCGAUACUGACGCUGAGGUGCGAAAGCGUGGGGAGCAAACAGGAUUAGAAACCCGAGUAGUCC
rnacentral:rRNA from 1 species